rnacentral:rRNA from 1 species
UACGAAGGGGCUAGCGUUGCUCGGAAUCACUGGGCGUAAAGCGCACGUAGGCGGCUAUUUAAGUCAGGGGUGAAAUCCUGGAGCUCAACUCCAGAACUGCCUUUGAUACUGGAGUAGCGUCAGUCCGGAAGAGGUGAGUGGAACUGCGAGUGUAGAGGUGAAAUUCGUAGAUAUUCGCAAGAACACCAGUGGCGAAGGCGGACUCACUGGCCCGGUACUGACGCUGAGGUGCGAAAGCGUGGGGAGCAAACAGG